AGGCAACAGGACACAGCUCCGGGCGCCGGCGUAGAAUCUGAGCUGCAGGAAGGAGGAGAAGAAAUGUGGUCGGAAGAUGAGGAAUGAGGUGGUCCAUAAAGUGAGUCUGCAGAUCAGCUUGGAAAGAGAGGCAGCCCUGGGGUCUAUCUCCAUGCCUGGUCCUGACUGGUCUUGGCUACCUGGAUUUAUUCUGGUCUUAACUGCUCUGUGAACUUCUGGAAACUCCCAUUCCUGUCUUGGGCUCACACAUAGCUCCCAGAGAAACACAGUGAAGUACUGACAGUAGAAAUGAUAUGAUGUCUGAGUUCAACUCCAGCAAAACAGGUCUCUGAGGAUCCCCGGGUGGAAACUCCUCCCGGGAGUAAAACCACACAACCACUGAGAAGACCGCUCCGGCAUCCUAGAGAGUACGCGUGUGAGCCUGGGUGCAAGGCCAAAGUAGUGACGCACUU
rnacentral:lncRNA from 1 species